CGCGCAUGUGGCGUCCUCCCUGGUGGGGCGAGCAAGAAGGAGGAGGUGCACGGGAGGCGUAGGCGCUGUGGCGAGAUGCGCUUCGGAUGCCCGAGAUCGGGCUGCAGCGGGCCCUGGCGCUGGUGGUGGCUUGGGGGGAGCUGACUUCGACGUCAACUUCUACAUCACACAACGUUCUGUAUCAGAGAAGGUUCGUGAUGCAAAUGCCUACUCCUUUACUCUGUUUAUCAGUUUUAGCUCAUAUUAUUUGUUGUAUUAGCACAUAAUUGUUUGUGAUGCCAAUGCCUUCUCCUUUCCUUUGUUAUAUGCAUUUCCUCUAAUGUUGGUAAACUUUAGAUUGAGUAGACCUUGGCAGCCUAUCCACUGAACUGCUAACUGAAAAUAUCAGGACCCAGUAAUUUGACAAGCAAAGUAGUAAUGUGAAUUGAUGUGUUGUUUGUUGUUCUUGUAGUUGGGGACGCCCGUGAGCCCGUGACAGUGAGACAGACACGACCUUGACUUGGCCAUGUCCGCCUCUCUGGACUGAUGAUAAUGCUUCACUACUGAGUCAUGUAAGAAACGGUGAGACGAAAGCCACCUGCGUCAUCACCUCAGCCAUGUCCACCUCUCUGUACUGAAUAUCAUGUCUCAAAUAUCCAAAAAGCUUAUUUAAAUAUUGAUAGUUAAUAGUUUUUCUAAGUGAGUUCUUUAUUCUCAAGACGUUCUUUUGUUCCCUCGGGUGAAUGCGUCUUCCUAAGCAGGUCUGCAUGUUGGUAUUACUUUGUUUGUUGACAUCUUCUUCUCUGUCUACAGACCAUGCUCACUAUUAAAGGGGAGCAACCUGGCCUGUUGCAACUCAUGUGAAUUCAUGCGGAUGAUAUGGUAUCUUACAUUUUUCACUAAUCAAAAGUUCACACAGGUAGUAACCAUCUAUGUGUUUGGCAGUUGUAAUGUCUGUUAGUAGUUUUUUUGUGAAUUUAUUUAUUAUAAUUAGGAAGUAAUAAUAGCUUAUUGCUUGUACAUUUGCCUCUUUUUUUGUAGAAGGUGCCUUUGCCUUUUUGAGCUAUAUAGUAAUUGGCUAUUUUUAUGAACUCCAUAAAGCUGCAAAAAAGAUUUUGCAUCAACUAAUUUACUGAAACAUAGGCGGAUUAAAUAUGUGGUCUCUCAAUAUUUAAAUAUCAAAAUCAGAAUUAGCACAAAAUAGUGUAUCCAUGUUCUAAGAUUAGCACAAUCUGAUAACCCUCCUAAAUUUUAGCAUUAUGUGCUAAUGGAAAAUUUGAAGUUGUCCAUCACUAUGGUUCUUGCAUGGAACAAUUGUGCAUAGAUUGUUGAUAUUUGCAUUAUGUCAUUAAAUGUCACUGCUAAUCAGUUUCUUACAAUUGAGUAAAAAACCCUGUCCAACAUGUGAAGGUUCCAACUGAAAAAAGAUGUCCAGUCGUUGCCCAAUAGGCUCUUAUUUUCCACUUUGUCUUCUGAUGCAAAGUUAAUUAGCCUUAUGAUUCAUACAGUUUGUGGAAUAAUCAAAGUGACGUUGUGCUUUAUGGUAUAGCCGUAUAGUAAUAACUACUACUCUAAGAUGUCAAAAGAACUUUCAAAACAUCUAACUAUGCUUGCAAAACACCAUAUCAAAAUGCAUUUGAGUAAAUUACCAUUUCAGUAAAUGAUGAAACUCUCUUUUUUUGGUCGAUUAUUUGUUUGCCUACAGUAAUAGAUUAUCAAAGUAGCACCGCAUAUUUAUUGAUUCAUUGGUUAUUCGCCAAAUCAUUCUUCAAGGGAAUCCAUGCCAGUGUGCUUACCUUAGCUCACGUCACUUUCCACUGAGGGUGCAAUCAUUGCCAUGUCCCCAUCGCUGCCGCCAUGCAGGAGAACCUCUCAUUGCUGGAUGUAGCGGCGAUGAUGUUCCUAGAGAGAUGUGAAGCGGCAGGGAGGCACAACUAGGUACAGGGCGCUACAAUAGUGACUCAUUGCCGUCGAACGACCCUCCCGCUUAGGCGAUGCUCCUGGCCUUGCAUGGUAGACAACAUAUAUACCUCGUAAGCAUGUGUUGAGUUAUUACUGCAGACUAUAACUGUCUUUGUUUGCUAACAUGAGAAAAUCAUUGUACCACCAUCCUUGCUGAUUGAUUCACGCGCAUGUGUGUUUUGUUGGUCUGAGACAGCAACGAAACAUCAUGUGUAGUAGAUGGCGCUGCACCUCACUUGCAGUGAGUGGUGAAGCAUGGUGCCACGAGUGUGGCUGAUGUGCUGCUGGAGAAGGACACGAUCUUCAAGUAGUCGGCAUGAACAGCCACCGGGUAUGGAAUUGUUUUCUCUUCUUUUCCCUAAAAGUGUACUCUUUUGGGUGUUGUUGGAUUUGGUUUCCCUUUGUUCUGACAAAUGUACACUCCCUUUCGCUCAUUGAUAAUGUGGUUGAUUAAGUGCAUGAUUGGUCAUUGGUUGGUCAGGGCUUAAGGCUCAUAGGGUUGUGCAAAAGGGUGUAGGUUGGUUUGGGAAGGUCUAUUUGUCCACAGAAAACUGUUGAAUGCUUGUGUGUAGGAAUUCAACAUAUCGGUAUUUCAUUUUUGACAAUCACAUAUUGACGCAAAAUUUCUUCUACCUCUUGCAGAUUUUUUUAUGACGAUGCAAGUGGUCUGAAGAUGUCUUUGUGACAAAAUAUUUGCAAAGUGAUCAGGGAGAUAUCUGAUGGAACAUGCCGAAACGAUUUUGGGCCUACAAUAUAAAAACAAUGAAAUUGCAAACUUUCUUAGGGAGAUAUGUGAUGGGAUGUGAAAAGCUACCCCCCACCCAACCAACCCCGUUACGACGCUCUAUGAGUGCUUCCUGUAAGAAGAGGAGACACUUGUGCAUGCUGCUCAAGGUGAUACACAAGAUUGAGUGAUGGUCUUGCAAGCUCAGGGCAAUCAUGGAAGUAGUGUAGUUCCUUUGUGUGUGAGAGACCCACAAAGGAUUGCUUAAUGAGCUUGAGUCUGCGUAGGUUGAACACCAAAGAGUGAUUGUGGUGCUCUAUGAAAUACUAAAAUGCAGGUGCUGCAGCGGUUGUUCAUUGAUAUUAUGUAGCUUUCCUUUGCAUACGCUUGCAACUACAUAUACAUGUGGCCACAUAUGAUAAGUUGGCAGUGAACUUUCAAAUACAGGCGACAAAUUCUUGACAGAGUGGAUUGUAACAUUGUGCAGAAGAGAUAAGAGAGAAGAGAGAGACUUGUAGAGCUACAGAGAGCUUGAGAGGGAGAGAGACUGUUGUUUGAUUUUUUAUAUUGUGGUGAGAGAGAGAGAGAGGAACUGUAGUUUGAUUGUAGUAUUGAAGGGAGCGAGUUUAACCUAAUGUAAU
rnacentral:lncRNA from 1 species